GGCUGGUCCAAAGGUUUUGAGUUACUUCAAUUGAUUGUUCAGUCAGUUAUGGAUGAAACUCCUCAUUCUACUCUUUUCUCCCUUCUUACUGCUGCAUUUGACUAGUCUAAA
ensembl:Y_RNA Y_RNA Y RNA